rnacentral:rRNA from 1 species
UACGUAGGGACCGAGCGUUGUCCGGAUUCAUUGGGCGUAAAGAGCUCGUAGGCGGCUGCUCAAGUCGAAUGUGAAAACUCGAGGCUCAACCUCGAGACGUCGGCGGAAACCAUCUGGCUAGAGUCCGGAAGAGGAGAGUGGAAUUCCUGGUGUAGCGGUGAAAUGCGCAGAUAUCAGGAAGAACACCAAUGGCGAAAGCAGCUCUCUGGGACGGUACUGACGCUGAGACGCGAAAGCGUGGGGAGCGAACAGG